rnacentral:rRNA from 1 species
AUUGAACGCUGGCGGCAGGCCUAACACAUGCAAGUCGAACGAGUGGCGGACGGGUGAGUAAUGUCUGGGAAACUGCCUGAUGGAGGGGGAUAACUACUGGAAACGGUAGCUACUACCGCAUACCAUCGGAUGUGCCCAGAUGGGAUUAGCUAGUAGGUGGGGUAAAGGCGCACCUAGGCGACGAUCCCUAGCUGGUCUGAGAGGAUGACCAGCCCCACUGGAACUGAGACACGGUCCAGACUCCUACGGGAGGCAGCAGUGGGGAAUAUUGCACAAUGGGCGAAAGCCUGAUCCAGCCAUGCCGCGUGUGUGAAGAAGGUCUUCGGAUUGUAAAGCACUUUAAGUUGGUAGGCGUUACCAACAGAAUAAGCACCGGCUAACUUCGUGCCAGCCGCCGCGGUAAUAC